UACAGAGGGGGCAAGCGUUAUUCGGAAUUAUUGGGCGUAAAGGGCGCGUAGGCGGCCUGACAAGUGGAAGGUGAAAUCCCUCGGCUUAACCGAGGAACUGCCCUCCAAACUGUUUGGCUUGAGUCCGGGAGAGGUGAGUGGAAUUCCCAGUGUAGCGGUGAAAUGCGUAGAUAUUGGGAGGAACACCAGUGGCGAAGGCGGCUCACUGGACCGGAACUGACGCUGAUGCGCGAAAGCGUGGGGAGCAAACAGG
rnacentral:rRNA from 1 species